rnacentral:lncRNA from 1 species
AUUUGAUUAGAAUUUUUUUAGAAUUUAUUUAGGAUUUGAUUAAGAUUUAUCUAGAAUUUGAUUAGAAUUUUUCAAGGAUUUGAAUAAGAUUAGUCUAGGAUUUGAUCAAGAUUUGUUUAGAAUUUUAUUAGAAUUUAUUUAAGAUUUGAGUAAUAUUUUUUUAGAAUCUUUUUGGAGAUUUUUUUAUUAUUUGAUUAAAUUGUUUUUAGAAUUUGUCUAUGAUUUAUCUAAGAUUUGAUUAAGAUUUAAUUAGGAUUUAUUUUUAUUUUAUAAUUUAUUUGAAAAUUUAAUUGAACUUGAUCA